UACGAAGGGGGCUAGCGUUGUUCGGAAUUACUGGGCGUAAAGCGCGCGCAGGCGGCUAUCCAAGUCAGUGGUGAAAGCCCGGAGCUCAACUCCGGAACUGCCAUUGAAACUGUUUAGCUUGAGGAUGAGAGAGGUGAGUGGAAUUCCCUGUGUAGAGGUGAAAUUCGUAGAUAUUGGGAAGAACACCGGUGGCGAAGGCGGCUCACUGGCUCAUUACUGACGCUCAGGCGCGAUAGCGUGGGGAUCAAACAGG
rnacentral:rRNA from 1 species